GUACACUUGCUAUGCCUAUCGAGUGAAAAAUAAAGAAUUUAAAAAAAUAAAAAGAAAUAGGACGUUCGGUCAUUUGAUGGGGGCUUCCAUGGUUUAGGAAGGGUUGCUAUAUUAGCAGCUAGAAGGUCCUUGGGGACAGUUUCUAAAGAUAGGGCAGUUUGGAAGAAAGCUGCCAUUUGAGGGGCUAAAGUGUGUGAGAAACAUUUGUAGUAGUAGUUCAUAAAGCCAUCGGGGCCUGGGGCUUUGUGUCUAGGAUGGAGUUUUAUAACGUAUUUCUAAUGCUGUUACGGGUG